UUGGCCUUGGCUUCCCCCAGAAUGAGGGGCACUUCCGGGGCCCCCAGGCCAUCCCCUGCCUGCAGAGUUCCCCAAGGACCUCAGCAGCAGACGACAGGUCCUAUUCAUGCUGCAGAGGGCGAGGACAGCUUAACUCCCUGACCCAGACACAGGCCCGCUUGCCGAAACAUUGUUGAAGAUGUAAGGCUGCAUCUGAAGUCGGGCAGCAAUGAUGGGUGAGGACACUGAGGCCCAGAGAAGAUGUGACACAGCCAGCUCAGGUUGGAAGCACACGCCUUGCUCUCUUCUCAGGGCUGUGUCCAUCCCGUCGGCGACCUGGGAAGGGACUGCUCUGGUGGCGUCUAGGACACCUGAUCAUGGGGGAGGUGCAGACUGAAUGCAAGGGCUCCAAAGUUAGACGUGACCCCAAGCCCAGAUCAGCUUUGUAAGCAGAGGUGACCUCGGGGAGUCCAUUGACUGCUCUGGGCUUCAUGGUUCUCAUCUGUAAAAGACAAAUGAAAAUUAGGGAGAACAGGAUAUUCUUCACAAGGCUAUUAUUGGGGACAUUAGAUAACCUCAUGUAAGUAAGAGGUUCUGGGGGUACCUGGGUGGCUCAGUUGGUCCGACUUCAGCUCAGGUCAUGAUCUCACA